UACUCCGGAGUUAGCAUUUGUCACCGCGAAGUCUGUUUAUAAUCACAGACUUCUAUAUUACUAUAUGUAACGAAUUAGAAUCACGGACCAAGUAUGUAGGGUAUGUUCUAAACUUAUAAAUUAUAAUAAAUACGAUGAUAAUAGUGGUAAAUGAUUAGGUACGACCAUGUCCAUGAGUUUGUCUGAUGAUAACACUUCCUUAAAGGUUAUCAUAUUAUGAACUUAAAAGUUAAAUUAAAUUAAAAUAAACUUAGAUAAUAGAAGAAUUCUAUUAUCUAUGCUAUUGCCACGUCUUGGGGGACUCAGAAACCGCCUUUUCACAAAUAUAUCCGUGUGCCUUUCUCUCUUCCACAUUUAAAGACCGCGACCACUCGCAUUAUAUGCUUUAACAUGGCCUAUUCAUUCUUCUACUAUCUAUGAAAAUAAAUGUCUUAUUACUUCAAUCAAUUUGAUGUUAUUAAGACAUCGUAGUUAUUGUGUUUAAAUUGUUGUCAACUGGUUGUUAUGUUUGGAAAUGUUUGCAUUAGUUUAUCAGAGGAUGUAAUUUCGAUAAUUUUAUUAAAACAAGAGCAAAAACAGAAAAUUGCAUGAAAAUUAUAAAUGGGAGCUUUAUUAGAUGGAAAACAACUAUUAGUUGUUUGGGAUGCUGGAUUUAUUGAAUGACGUCAAUAUAAACUUGUUAAAAGAAAUCAUCUAAGAUCUUAUUUGCAUCCAAAUAUUCAAAAAUAAAUAUUAUAAAUUCACACUUAAGGUACUUAGAAGAGACAUUAGAAUAAUAAUUUAUUAUAAGGAGCAUUUUUUUUUUCAGUAACUAUGCAAUGUUUGUUUAAAUUGUUUAUUUUUGUUUUAUAAAUAUUUAUAUUCUGUCGUUUAAUAUUUUUUUGUAUUUACCAUCUAAUAAGAAAGUAUUAUUUAUAACUAUAUUUGUGUUUUCCUACUGAGACUUUUGAAAAUAUAUUUUUUUUUUUAAAG